rnacentral:tRNA from 1 species
GCAUCCAUUGUUGAAUGGUUAAAGCGCCCAAGUCAUAAUUGUGAAUUCGUAGGUUCAAUUCCUACUGGAUGUG